UCCACAGUAGCUUAGUGGUAGAGCUAUCGGCUGUUAACCGAUCGGUCGUAGGUUCGGGUCCUACCUGUGGAGCCA
rnacentral:tRNA from 1 species